rnacentral:rRNA from 1 species
UACGUAGGGGGGCUAGCGUUGUCCGGAUUUAUUGGGCGUAAAGAGCGUGUAGGCGGCCAGGUAGGUCUGGUGUGAAAACUCGAGGCUUAACCUCGAGAUGUCAUCGGAAACCAUCUGGCUAGAGUCCGGAAGAGGAGAGUGGAAUUCCUGGUGUAGCGGUGAAAUGCGCAGAUAUCAGGAAGAACACCAAUGGCGAAAGCAGCUCUCUGGGACGGUACUGACGCUGAGACGCGAAAGCGUGGGGGAGCGAACAGG